ACUCAAAUGAAUUGACGGGGAGGCGCACAACCAGUGGAGCAUGUGGUUCAAUUCGAGACGAAGCGAAGAACCUUACCCGGGUUUGACAUGCUAUCGUUUAAGUUUGCAGAAACGUGAACUGAUCUUAUUGAAAAAUAAGAUGAUAGCACAGGUGUUGCAUGGCUGUCGUCAGCUCGUGCCGUGGGGUGUUCCCUUCAGUGGGGUAACGAGCGCAACCCCUGUCCCGUAUUAAAUAUUUACGGGAGACUUUUCAUCCUUGUGAUGGAAGGAAGUGGGGACGAUGUCAAGUCAGCAUGGCCCUUAUGUCCGGGGCAACACACAUUCUACAAUGGAGCCGACAAUGGGUUGCCAAGCCGCAAGGCGGAGCUAAUCCCAUCAAACGGCUUCUCAGUGGGGAUUGAAGGCUGCAACUCGCCUUCAUGAACGUGGAAUUGGUAGUAAUCGCAAAUCAGCAUGUUGCGGUGAAUACGUUCUCGCCUCUUGUACACACCGCCCGU
rnacentral:rRNA from 1 species